ACCCUUUUGUGUUUAGAGCUAGAAGCUCCAUACUGUGAAUCCAGCAAAAGUUUACACUGUUUAUAGGCAUCUUUAGCAAUUGCCUGCCCAAUGGAAGAACUCGAAUUAUCUUGAGGACAAAAUCUUGUUGAGUUGUGAAUCCUUGUGAGAUGCUUAUGGUCUCUUCUUGCUGUGCUCAUAUCCAACUUGUGCUCGUCACCAGAAAUGUAAUUCAAGUUGGAAUAUGAUCCUGAGCGUGAAGAGCUCUGAGAACUGGUAUCAUCAAACAUAUCAUCUUGGAGACAUUGUGUCAUUAAUCCUGAAAUGGAUGCUUGAGAUGACGAACAUGACGAGGAAGAGUCAAAAGGAUGAUUAGUCGCAUCGUCUUCUUGGUAGUUGAAUGUAUGAUGAGCUUCAAUUUGAGGCAAGUCCCAUUUCUUCCAGUUUGGCACUAGAGAUGAAAUCUCUCCAUCAAUCAUUUCAGCAAUUUCAAAUGGCUCCCAAUCAUCUAUGUCCAGCUCCUUGACCAUCUCCAUUGCAACCUCCAUUGGUGUAUCAUGUAAGAUGUCAAAAGGAAAAUAUAUAUUCCUUAGCGAACCAUCUUUAUUAGCAAUUUGUACUUUAAGAAAGAUGGUAUCAUCUUCAGGGUUGAGCUUCCCCGUAAUAGUCAUGUCCGUCCUUGGUGGAUCAUCACUCAAUUGUAGCUUCUCCAUUUCUCUACAAUUCAAAAAUGGCUUCUGAUUUCCAGACCUUGUAACAGGUGAUGGUUCAGCUUCAUCAAAUGCGAGAAAUGGAUCAAGCAGUAGCUCUUUUGCUGAUAAUCUCUUUGAUGCAUUUACUAAGCACUUUCCAAUAAAUUGUUGUGCUUCCAAGUCCUUAAUCCCAUAAUAUGCAGCAGGUAGCUUCCCCGAAGUCACUUUCUUGUAAAU
rnacentral:misc_RNA from 1 species